rnacentral:rRNA from 1 species
AAGGUCCUUCGGGACCCUGAAAGCGGCGAACGGGUGAGUAACACGUGGGCAACCAACCCUCGGUUCCGGGAUAGCUCGGGGAAACCCGGAUUAAUACCGGAUGGCCUCUCGGAUCCACGGAUCCGUGAGAAAAGGUAGCUUCGGCCUCCGACCGAGGACGGGCCCGCGGCCGAUUAGCUUGUUGGUGGGGUAACGGCCCACCAAGGCGACGAUCGGUAGCUGGUCUGAGAGGACGAUCAGCCACACUGGGACUGAGACACGGCCCAGACUCCUACGGGAGGCAGCAGUGGGGAAUCUUGCGCAAUGGGCGGAAGCCUGACGCAGCGACGCCGCGUGCGGGAAGAAGGCCUUCGGG